GCAUAUCAAUAAGCGGAGGAAAAGAAACCAACAGGGAUUGCCCCAGUAACGGCGAGUGAGAGCGGCAAAAGCUCAAAUUUGAAAUCCUGCGGGAAUUGUAAUUUGAAGGUUUCGUGGUCUGAGUCGGCCGCGCCCAAGUCCAUUGGAACAUGGCGCCUGGGAGGGUGAGAGCCCCGUCCGGCGCACGCCGACUCUUUGCACCGCGGCUCCGACGAGUCGAGUUGUUUGGGAAUGCAGCUCUAAGUGGGUGGUAAAUUCCAUCUAAAGCUAAAUAUUGGCGAGAGACCGAUAGCGAACAAGUACAGUGAUGGAAAGAUGAAAAGCACUUUGAAAAGAGAUGAAACAGCACGUGAAAUUGUUGAAAGGGAAGGGCUUGCAAGCAGACACGGUUUUACCGGGCCAGCGUCGAAAAGGGGGGAGGACAAGAACUCGAGAAUGUGGCGCGCACCUUCGGGUGCGCGUGUUAUAGCUCGUGUUGACGCCUCCAUCCUUUUU
rnacentral:rRNA from 1 species